CCUACUGGCGGCUGCAGUGGGGAAUAUUGGACAAUGGGGGGAACCCUGAUCCAGCCAUGCCGCGUGUGUGAAGAAGGCCCUCGGGUUGUAAAGCACUUUCAGUGAGGAAGAACGCCUGGUGGUUAAUACCCAUCAGGAAAGACAUCACUCACAGAAGAAGCACCGGCUAACUCCGUGCCAGCAGCCGCGGUAAUACGGAGGGUGCGAGCGUUAAUCGGAAUUACUGGGCGUAAAGCGCGCGUAGGUGGCUUGAUAAGCCGGUUGUGAAAGCCCCGGGCUCAACCUGGGAACGGCAUCCGGAACUGUCAAGCUAGAGUGCAGGAGAGGAAGGUAGAAUUCCCGGUGUAGCGGUGAAAUGCGUAGAGAUCGGGAGGAAUACCAGUGGCGAAGGCGGCCUUCUGGACUGACACUGACACUGAGGUGCGAAAGCGUGGGUAGCAAACAGGAUUAGAUACCCCAGUAGUC
rnacentral:rRNA from 1 species